rnacentral:rRNA from 1 species
UACGUAGGGGGCAAGCGUUGUUCGGAAUUACUGGGCGUAAAGGGCGCGUAGGCGGCACGGCAAGUCAGGAGUGAAAGCCCUGGGCUCAACCCGGGAACUGCUUUGAAACUGCCGAGCUAGAGUGCGGAAGGGGCAACUGGAAUUCCCAGUGUAGCGGUGAAAUGCGUAGAGUAUUGGGAGGAACACCGGUGGCGAAGGCGGCCCCCUGGACCGGUACUGACGCUGAGGCGCGAAAGCGUGGGUAGCAACGGG